rnacentral:misc_RNA from 1 species
ACUUUUGACUCUGUCCUUUUGUAGAUUGCCAAAGAAGGGAAAACCCAGCUGGAGAGGAAGUUCCUGAACAGGUGCUUGAAGCACCCUGACGAUCUGGUCAUCCAGAUCCCGGCCUGAUUUCCCCGAUGACCGCAACCCCACGGACAUGCAAUACAAAAAACAUUGAGAGUAAAGGAAGCAGUUCCUGACCCCCGAGGGCUGGCCCGGGGGUGGUUUGUUACUGAUGUUGUCCAUCUGCCUUAGUGUAACCAGCUGUAAAGAGCUACGCAUCCAGACAUUGGGGGAACAGCACAGGGGAGGGAGGUGUAACAGGUGCCCCCUCCCCUCCAUCCUCGAACUCAUGGCCCAUAUCAUGACCCCACAAUGCACCACUGUGGCGAUGGAACGACAGAUGUAACUGAUAUAAACCACUCCCAUUCAAACUUUACUGAUUUUUUUCUGAAGUGUGUAGUUGACAUGCAUAUUGGAAAAAGCAUUAAAAAAAUGACAAAAAUGAGACACGGUGAAGAGAGAGAGAGAGUAGGUGAGGUUAGAAGAGGAGGACUAGAAAGUGGCAAGAAGAAAAAUACCAAAAAAUCCACAAUUUGACUGUUUAUAUUUUAUUUUCACUUGUGGAAUUUUGAUUUUUUUGUGGAAUUUUAUGUACAUAAAUAAAACAGUGUAAUAU